UAGGGAAUCUUCCGCAAUGGACGCAAGUCUGACGGAGCAACGCCGCGUGAGUGAAGAAGGAUUUCGGUUCGUAAAACUCUGUUGUUAGAGAAGAACAGCGCAUAGAGUAACUGUUAUGCGUGUGACGGUAUCUAACCAGAAAGCCACGGCUAACUACGUGCCAGCAGCCGCGGUAAUACGUAGGUGGCAAGCGUUGUCCGGAUUUAUUGGGCGUAAAGCGAGCGCAGGCGGUCAAUUAAGUCUGAUGUGAAAGCCCCCGGCUCAACCGGGGAGGGUCAUUGGAAACUGGUUGACUUGAGUGCAGAAGAGGAGAGUGGAAUUCCAUGUGUAGCGGUGAAAUGCGUAGAUAUAUGGAGGAACACCAGUGGCGAAGGCGACUCUCUGGUCUGUAACUGACGCUGACGCUCGAAAGCGUGGGUAGCAAACAGG
rnacentral:rRNA from 1 species